rnacentral:rRNA from 1 species
GGCGAACGGGUGACUAACACGUGAGUAACCUGCCCCUGACUCUGGGAUAAGCCUGGGAAACUGGGUCUAAUACCGGAUAUGACUGCGGAACGCAUGUUCUGUGGUGGAAAGAUUUAUCGGUUGGGGAUGGACUCGCGGCCUAUCAGCUUGUUGGUGAGGUAAUGGCUCACCAAGGCCACCACGGGUAGCCGGCCUGAGAGGUGAACCGGCUAUACUGGGACUGAGACACGGCCCAGACUCCUACGGGAGGCAGCAGUGGGGAAUAUUGCACAAUGGGCGAAAGCCUGAUGCAGCGACGCCGCGUGAGGGAUGACGGCCUUCGGGUUGUAAACCUCUUUCAGUAGGGAAGAAGCGAGAGUGACGGUACCUGCAGAAGAAGCGCCGGCUAACUACGUGCCAGCAGCCGCGGUAAUACGUAGGGCGCAAGCGUUAUCCGGAUUUAUUGGGCGUAAAGAGCUCGUAGGCGGUUUGUCGCGUCUGCCGUGAAAGUCCGAGGCUCAACCUCGGAUCUGCGGUGGGUACGGGCAGACUAGAGUGAUGUAGGGGAGACUGGAAUUCCUGGUGUAGCGGUGAAAUGCGCAGAUAUCAGGAGGAACACCGAUGGCGAAGGCAGGUCUCUGGGCAUUUACUGACGCUGAGGAGCGAAAGCAUGGGGAGCGAACAGGAUUAGAUACCCUGGUAGUCCAUGCCGUAAACGUUGGGCACUAGGUGUGGGGGACAUUCCACGUUUUCCGCGCCGUAGCUACGCAUUAAGUGCCCCGCCUGGGGAGUACGGCCGCAAGGCUAAAACUCAAAGGAAUUGACGGGGGCCCGCACAAGCGGCGGAGCAUGCGGAUUAAUUCGAUGCAACGCGAAGAACCUUACCAAGGCUUGACAUGUUCCAGACCGGGCUAGAGAUAGUCCUUCCCUUCGGGGCUGGUUCACAGGUGGUGCAUGGUUGUCGUCAGCUCGUGUCGUGAGAUGUUGGGUUAAGUCCCGCAACGAGCGCAACCCUCGUUCCAUGUUGCCAGCACGUAGUGGUGGGGACUCAUGGGAGACUGCCGGGGUCAACUCGGAGGAAGGUGGGGAUGACGUCAAAUCAUCAUGCCCCUUAUGUCUUGGGCUUCACGCAUGCUACAAUGGCCGGUACAAUGGGUUGCGAUACUGUGAGGUGGAGCUAAUCCCUAAAAGCCGGUCUCAGUUCGGAUUGGGGUCUGCAACUCGACCCCAUGAAGUCGGAGUCGCUAGUAAUCGCAGAUCAGCAACGCUGCGGUGAAUACGUUCCCGGGCCUUGUACACACCGCCCGUCAAGUCACGAAAGUUGGUAACACCCGAAGCCGAUGGCCUAACCACCUUGUGUGGGGGGUGUCGUCGAA